GACGAACGCUGGCGGCGUGCUCAACACAUGCAAGUCGAGCGGUAAGGCCCUUUCGGGGGUACACGAGCGGCGAACGGGUGAGUAACACGUGGGUGACCUGCCCUCAGCUCUGGGAUAAGCCUGGGAAACCGGGUCUAAUACUGGAUAUGACUCCAUGACGCAUGUUGUGGGGUGGAAAGCCUUGUGCGGCUGAGGAUGGGCCCGCGGCCUAUCAGCUUGUUGGUGGGGNGAUGGCCUACCAAGGCGACGACGGGUAGCCGGCCUGAGAGGGCGACCGGCCACACUGGGACUGAGACACGGCCCAGACUCCUACGGGAGGCAGCAGUGGGGAAUCUUGCGCAAUGGGCGAAAGCCUGACGCAGCGACGCCGCGUGAGGGAUGACGGCCUGGU
rnacentral:rRNA from 1 species